rnacentral:tRNA from 1 species
GUCUUCGUGGUGUAAUGGUCAGCACGCUCGGCGCGUAUUCGAGAGGUCCGAGGUUCGAGUCCCGGUGAGAGCA